AAAAAAACGGUAGGCAUUUAAAAAUGACCAUUUGAGCAAUAAAACCAGUAAACUUAGAGAAGAAAGUAUUUCAAGUCAAUACCAUCUAUCUCCCCCGUUUUAUAGUUUCUUAACUAUAACAAAUUGUGAUCCCAAUAUGAAUGAAGGAAAAGAAAAUACAAAACUAAAACAAAUAAAAGGUAAUUUCAAACAUAAAGAACUCAAGUAGUGGGUAUGAAUCCACUCAAUGGAACAUUUGCCCUCAUCAAACAAGGCGUAAACAUGUAGCAAACAUUUCCCAUUGGCAUACAAGCAAAAAUAAAAAAUAUGUCUUAACAUCUUAAACCCCAAAAGGUGUCCCUCAAAAGAUAAAAUAAAUAAAAGAAAGAAAAAUGGUUGAAAUCAACAAUGGUCUGCCAUUAACACUCCUCAUAGGUUCAUAUCUCUCCCCAGUGAAGCUCCUUUGUGUCCAUGGGGGAGAGGCUGGGGGGUUGGUUAUAGAAUACAGUGAUGAUAAAAACAAAGGCAGUGAGAUAAGAUAGCAAAAGGUUUGAAAACUUUUGACCCAAGAAAACAAAGACAA